GAGGUUCCAUUAAAAAUUUCUCCCAUUUUUUUUUCAUUCAAGGCACUCUCCAGCUCCCUCUUCUCCUUCGUCUCCCCAUUCUCCUCUGUUUUACCCAAAACCCUAGCCUUCAUCCCUUCUCUCCCUGAUCUCGCCUGCACUACCUGAAGCUCUCCCCUCUAAUAUUUGAGCCUCUCUCGAAGCCCCAUCUUUCUGCGGUUCUUCUUCGUAUGCACUAACUCGAAGCCCUUACGCUCUCGCUCAGAUUUCUUUACCCAUGGUAGCUCCCUCUCAGAUCUCGAACCUUUCCUAUUCUCUACCGAAACUUAACUCCUCUGCGAUUCUCAUACUAUCGUCACACCAUCUUUAGAACCACGGCCUCUCCCUCUCUCUCACGGGCGCACAUCCUCGAUCUCACAGCAAUGAAAAUGGUGGAAGUCUUGUAGUGACAGCGGCAACGAAGCGGGGUAGCCAUUGUUGCUUUGAUUCAACAACAACAGACAACUUUCAACCUCGCCUCCUCUCCCACGAUAAGUUCACCACUAAGUGGGGUUGCAAUCUUUAGAUGAAGUUGCAGGAUCUUUACGAUUCGCUUCUUCUUGGAGCUUGAUGGGGGGGUGCGGCGGCGCUUGUUGGUGAUGAUUGCCGAGGAUGAUGGUGGAGAUUGAGGUGGUCGUGUGGAUGUGAUAGGAGAGUGAUCACAAAUCUGAGGGGAUCAUCUCGGUUUCAGAUAAGUCUCCUUUUCAUUGGUUUGUUUGUUCGUUGUUUCUUUUUUGUAUGGUUGAGAUGCAAUGGUGCGAAAGAUUGGUGUGGGAGCCUCUGUAUUGUGAUUGGGGAAGUUAGGGUCUUCAAGAGUCCAGAUCUGUUAGGGUUAGGUUUAGGGUUUCUCUUGAGAUUGAAGAUGGAGACAAGUCAAGCUUGUCCCUGAUUCAGUGGGUUAUGCCCUGGUUGACUUGUUGGAGUCAAACUAGCGAGUUGUGAAACUCAGCGAACCCGAGUCGUGCUCAGUGGGUUCACUCUGUAUGAUGGGCUAGUGCAUGCGUGGGGUUAACACAUGAGGGCUUUAUUUUUUGUUUCUGGGUCAGGUUAUUUGAAACCAGGGGCUGGGCCAAAUUGGAUUUCAAAAUGUGCUAGCUCGGUAUUUUGGAAAUGGGUUGGUUAAUGGGCUGUGGUCCAAAAAGAUCUUUGGUUAUUGAAGUGGGUCUAGGGUUCGCCUUACAAGGUUCAGCCUUGGGUUUAUCAAAAUGGGCUUCUUUCUUUUCGAUUCCUGAAAUAGGGGCCCGCCUCCAAUUUAUAAAACAAAGGCCCAUUUUCAAUUUAUAAAGUAGAGGCCCAUCUUUAAUUUUGGAAUCCUCGGUGGGCCUAUUUUUAGACGGUUAGUGGGCUUAUCUGUAAAAGAAAGGGAGAGGCCCAGUUGGGUCUUGAAAAAAUGUAUUGGGCUUUGAUUAAAACACAGGAAGGCUUGGGAAUUGAAAUCUUGAAAUGGGCUUUGGAGCUUUCGGAUAGGAACCGGUCCUCAAUUUAAAACAUGUAUGGGUGGGGAGUUCUCAAAAGGAAAUUGGGCUUGAAUCCAGAUUCGGAUUGGGAGGCGAGCUUAGUGAAAUGAGUUUGGGGUUUGAGUUUAGGAUCAAAAACUUGAAAGAGAGUUGGGGAGGUACCUACAGUUCAAUUCAUACCCAACAUGGCACUAUGAGACUCAGGGGGAGGGAUAUGGAGGGUUCAAUUUUCAAGCGGGUUUGGGUCUUUAAACUUGGUUGGAGGGUAUUUGAAAUUCAAAACGGGCUUUGGGGUUUUCAAAUACAAAUGAGCUUUGGGGUUUUAAUUUGAAAACAAAAGUUGGGCCAGGGUCAUUAAGAGUUGGGCUAGUUAAGCGACCUCAAACCUGAGCUUGAGUUCAGGUCAGGGUCAUAAAAAAAUUCAAAUCAAUUUCGGGUUUGGCAUGGAGAUCCGGGUAGGACACAUGUUGGUUCCCAAGCUCAAGUUCACGUGAGAACUCGAGGCUUAAACAUGAGUUCCUGCAUUACUGUUAGCAUGCAAAAUGGUAGUUGAAUUUGCAGGAAACAAGGAAGGGAAUGGGUGAUUAUACCUCUAACUACUUUUUCCUUCGGUCUUCUUUUCUAGCUUCUGAGUUCAUCUGGUGUUUCGUACUCUGCUUCUUUGCUUCCUUGCUUCUUCUUCUUCUGUCUCCUCUGCUUCUCAGCUCCUGUAGGGUUCUUUUUUCUCUGAGUUUCUGCAGAGUUCUUCUGCUAUAAUACUCUCAACUUUUCUAAUUCUCUCUUCUCACUCUCAAAUUCUGUAGUAUUCUGAUAAGCUUUCCUCCCUCUUCCAACUGGCAGACCCUCACUCUCUCUUUUGAACUAGCAGAACCUCCCUUCUCUCCCGAAUUUUUCCUUAGUUCUCUUAAUUUCACCAGGGCUUCUUUACUAACUCCCUUCUUUCCCUCUUAAUUCUUGCAGGCUUUCUCUACUUUCUAAAUGGGUGUUUUCUACAGUGUCGAGACUCCCUAUUUAUAAGGAGUCUGAGAGUGAAGUUUGGCACCAACCGUCUUAACAAAUUUCCCCUCCCACGAACUGUGUCAGGGAAUAAUUCCCUUUAACAAAUCAUAUGAAAUGUCCAUGUGGCAUGCUGGGACUUACGAGCAUUUUGGAGGCCUCUGACUGGCAGCAUCAGACUGGGGAGUAGGGUAUUUUCAUUUUAUUUUGUAUUUCUUUUUCUGCUGCUACCUGAUUUUGCCCUUUUGUUUCUUUUGUGUGCAGGAGACUGGAGUGGUGCUUCCAGAUGGCAAUGCAGGAGAGGAGGGCAUGGAGUCUAUUAUUAUUUGUUUUUUUGUUCUUUGUAAUAAUUAUUAUGUAUUUGUUAUUCCUUGUGUACACGUACGUACCCCCCGAGCAAACUUUCCUUCUGUAUAGCUCCUUUGUAUUGUGACUUUUAGUUACAUGCUCCCUACAACUCUUGAGACAUUUAUUUUUU